rnacentral:lncRNA from 1 species
UGGUUGGAUCUGAGCUCACUGCUGACAGCUCUGGGCUAAUGGCACGGCAGGGCUAAAGGCUGGUAUUUUCCUAGUGAUCAAUGAUGUCUCAGCACUCUGAUAUCCCAUCUCUGGCACGAUCUGGAAGCUCUCAGCUGCCCGUUCCGACCUGAGUUUCUUCCUUUCUCUCUUCAGAGGCGGCGCAGCUGCCAGACAUCCAGCUGCACCUUUCAGCGCGCAGAGGGACGCAAUGGGGAUGGACUGUCCUUACUGCCACGCAAAAGGACAGAGCCCGUGCGUCCAUGCAAUGGUGCUGGGCAAGGUGGGAAACGGAAAGCCCAUGCAGAAGAUGACGCAAGCGGCCUUCCAGCAAAGCGCAGCCUUGCGGAAAGUCUGGGGAGGACUGCAGCCUGUGACGUGGCACCCAAGAGAGAUGUACAAUGUGAGCCAAAUGGAAUGAUCUACGUGAAAGCAGUGCAGGAAGUGCUUUCUGGGGAGAGAUCAUCUCCAGGCUGGAGGGCUUCCAGUAACAGCAGGUCCCAGCUCAGGGAGAAGACCUUCCCUGGCUGUGUGCCCCCGCUCUGUCUCCAAGACCCUGGCUGGAGGGAAACGCAAGGGCUUGGACGAAGAGCAACAGGCAGCAGCGCAGUUGCCUGCUAA